UAUUCUGCCCUACAGGGAAGGAUGAGAAGCUUCGACUAAGGUUCGACUCGAGCGAAGCGAGAGAACGUUGCCGCAGGCAACGGCCCGAAGGGCGAAGCGCUUUAGCGCCGAGUAAUCCUUCCCCCACCACUG
rnacentral:sRNA from 2 species